UUCUAUGGGCGGACUGGGUGGGGAGCCGCAAGGCUCGCCGGCGCUGACCCGGUAGACCAACCUAUUCAGUUCCGCCCGCCCCG
rnacentral:antisense_RNA from 1 species